rnacentral:ncRNA from 1 species
CGAAAGACGAUGAAAAAGGAUUAGUAAUAGGUUUUAUCAGUUUUAGAGAAGCAGUGGGUGGUGAAAACUGCUACUGAUAGACGUAUGAACUCACCUUUUUAGUUUGCAGUAAUGAAAUCAGAGUAGUUACUGUCGUUUCAUCAACGUUACCGAUGUCAAGCGAGCGCUUCUUAGCGUUAAUUUGGGUGGUACCGCGGGAAUAAACACAGCUUCUCGUCCCUUCA